GGUAAUACGGCUUUCCUACGCCACCGUGAAUUACUUUGUUCGAUCCUCCAAUUACGAUCGCGAAUUACCCCUUUCCUACAGGCACAUUCUUAAUUCGAUUUGACAGUUCUCUAUCAUUGUGUUUUGUUUUUUUGUUAUUCGCUACAAAAUUUAUGCCAAAUUAUCGUAAUUCGAAGGGAAAUUGGAGUGCGAAUGAAGAAUGAGAGAGCAAACUACGUAAUUGGGGUGCCGUGAGAAAGCCGUAUUACACUGUUCAACUUUCACAGGCGGUGCUCCUGGCGUUGAAGGUGCUGAAGGCGGAAGGUACCCAUGGUGCUCCUGGCGAUGACGGAGCUGAGGGUAGAAGGUACUGGUGGUGUUCCUGGCGAUGAAGAAGCUGAGGGCAGAAGGUUCGAAUGGUGCUCCUGGCGAUGAAGAUGCAAGCGUUGGAGGUGCUGAUGGUGAAUCCCAAAUCUGUAAACAAACAAAAAUAUCAAUUAAAAUUUAUAAACAUAUAAAAGUCUCAAUACAUACCUUAAG
rnacentral:lncRNA from 1 species